UUGUAUUGCACACGUGUCAGAUUUCCUAUCAAACGAUCCUUACGGGAACUAUGUCGUGCAGCAUGUCCUCGAGCUUAGAAAUAAUCUUAUAACAAAGAAAAUAUUGUGCUGUCUUCAAGGUCAGUUUAUACUGCUAUCAAAGACAAAAGGAGGCAGUCAUGUUGUAGAGAAAUGCAUUGAAUCUUCUGCAUUAGGAUGCAGUUUUGUGGUUACAAAACUUUUAGAUUGUUCGAACAAUAUUGUUCGACUCAGUCAACAUCAGUUCGGAAACUUUGUGAUUCAAAAAGCCUUAUCGAGGACAAAGAUAGAGCGCCAGAUACAUCUCCAUGAAACUCUCAUUGUGAUUCUUGAACAGCAUGCAAAGAAGCUUAAACUCACCAAAAGUGGCAAUCAUGUACUUAAUCGGCUUGAAGAACUUCGUGAAGCUAAGUUCAACCCAUGAAAAAUCCAUUUUAGGGGAACGAAGAAGUUGAAAUUACACCAUGUCAUUGUUUAGUAUGAUAGAUUAUUAUCUUUGUUGCUGAAUGUUGUUUCUUUAUUCUUGUAACGUUUACACAGAACGUGUUGUUACUUCUUGGUGUGAUUGAGAAUUUAUUUUGGUAGUGUCAUUUCUUUA